rnacentral:rRNA from 1 species
UACAGAGGGGGCGAGCGUUGUUCGGAAUUACUGGGCGUAAAGGGCGCGUAGGCGGCCCGCUAAGUCGAACGUGAAAUCCCCAGGCUCAACCUGGGAACUGCGUCCGAUACUGGCAGGCUUGAAUCCGGGAGAGGGAUGUGGAAUUCCAGGUGUAGCGGUGAAAUGCGCAGAUAUCAGGAGGAACACCGGUGGCGAAGGCGGUUCUCUGGGCCGAUACUGACGCUGAGGAGCGAAAGCGUGGGGAGCGAACAGG